AAUGGCAUAUCCAGUGGAAGGAAAAGGUCAUGGUGGUAAUAGACUGAUGUGAAGUCCUCAGGGAGAUCUCUCUCUCUCUCUCUCUCUCUCUCUCUCUCUGCCUCUCUCUCUCUUCUCAGUCCCAGACAGACCGUCUCAGUCUCAGACAUCCUCAUCUGCCUCCCACAGCGCUCCGCCAAGCUCGCCAGGAUUUCAAUCACAGGGCCAAAUGAAAUUAUUAAGAGGUGAAGGUCAGGAGAGGGCCCUCAGUGUGGACGUUGAUGGCUCCUUUUUUUCUUUUUUAUAAAUUCUCACUUUAA